UUAUUUGGUUAUUAUACAAGAACUCCAAAGCAAUCUCAGCAUAUGGACACAUUGAUUUACAUGAACAUUUCUGAGCUAUUCCAUAGGACGAUGAUCAUGAUUCUAGGGCGGACCUGUGCCUUAGAGCCUAAAAAUGAAGUUUGAACUAGCUUAAUUAUGUUUUGAUUUCCGUACUCUAUUUCCAAGACAAUGUAACACCUUUGUUUAUAAAUAAAAUACAACUUGUAU
rnacentral:lncRNA from 1 species